rnacentral:rRNA from 1 species
AUACGUAGGGGGCGAGCGUUGCCCGGAAUUACUGGGUGUAAAGGGAGCGUAGGCGGGAGUGCAAGUCAGAUGUGAAAUACAUGGGCUCAACCCAUGGGCUGCAUUUGAAACUGCAUUUCUUGAGUGAAGUAGAGGUAAGCGGAAUUCCUGGUGUAGCGGUGAAAUGCGUAGAUAUCAGGAGGAACACCGGUGGCGAAGGCGGCUUACUGGGCUUUUACUGACGCUGAGGCUCGAAAGCGUGGGGAGCAAACAGGAUUAGAUACCCUGGUAGUCCACGCUGUAAACGAUGAUUACUAGGUGUGGGGGGACUGACCCCUUCCGUGCCGCAGUUAACACAAUAAGUAAUCCACCUGGGGAGUACGGCCGCAAGGUUGAAACUCAAAUGAAUUGGCGGGG